GAUCAUGGCUCAGGAUGAACGCUAGCUACAGGCUUAACACAUGCAAGUCGAGGGGAAACGACAGAGGAAGCUUGCUUUCUUUGGGCGUCGACCGGCGCACGGGUGAGUAACGCGUAUCCAACCUUCCCGCAAGUAAGGGAUAACCCGUAGAAAUGCGGCCUAAUACCUUAUGUUUUCCUUAGAGGGCACCUGAUGAGGAACAAAGAUCCGUCGCUUGCGGAUGGGGAUGCGUCUGAUUAGUUAGUCGGCGGGG
rnacentral:rRNA from 1 species